AUUGAACGCUGGCGGCAGGCCUAACACAUGCAAGUCGAACGAGUGGCGGACGGGUGAGUAAUGUCUGGGAAACUGCCUGAUGGAGGGGGAUAACUACUGGAAACAGUCACUAAUACCGCAUACCAUCAGAUGUGCCCAGAUGGGAUUAGCUUGUUGGGGGGGUAAAGGCUCACCAGGGCGACGAUCCCUAGCUGGUCUGAGAGGCACACCAGCCACACUGUAACUGAGACACGGUCCAGACUCCUACGGGAGGAAGCAGUGGGGAAUAUUGCACAAUGGGCACAAGCCUGAGGCAGCCAUGCCGCGUGUAUGAAGAAGGCCUGCGGGUUGUAAAGUACUUUCAGCGGGGAGGCGUUACCCGAAGAAUAAGCACCGGCUAACUCCGUGCCAGCAGCCGCGGUAAUAC
rnacentral:rRNA from 1 species